AGAGUGUUAUGAUGUUGGAGGCGACUCCUAGUCUAGCUCAACGCUUUCUCUGUCGAACUUGUUCGGCAGGG
rfam:Enterococcus haemoperoxidus ATCC BAA-382 genomic scaffold acvJN-supercont1.3, whole genome shotgun sequence.